GUUUGGACGUACCGGCGACAGUUGGUCGUACGACGGAGACGAUGCGUUGGCGAACCACAUCGCUCCGUUCAGAGUUUCCGCACCACCGUCCAUCAUAAGUUGCAGCUCCAUUCAACAGCUCUUGUUCUCAGAGCACACGUAAACCUUUCACAAAUGCCGUGUGCUCUCAGAUGUCAUUAAACCAUAUUAUCGGAUUCCGCUCCAGACUCGGUAUCGAUGAUUCAGACCCGGCACCGUAUGCAAAACCGCUCUUGAGCCCAAGACGCCGAGGUUCUGAUUGACAGCACCGUAGAAGAUCAUCGCGACUCUGGAAUGCAGCAAAGCCAUGGCGCACAUGGGGCACGGUUCCAUCAGCAGGAAUACCCAAUAACCCGUGCAGAGAUACGGCCCGCACUUCUCUACGUUUCUUCCAUAUUCUUCUUGCUGCGGAUCCUCGACUCUGUCACCGUCGCUCCUCCUUCCCUUUCGUCCGACUUGCGUUUCGAGUGGCAUUUGAACCGGGAACGUGAGCGAGGAUAGAGAUGUCGGUCUCGACGUCCGAGUCUACCCUCUCGUCGAGUGUUCCUUCGUCCAUUCGCCUCUUCGUGAGAUCCUCAUCGUUCAAACGCCACGCACCGCCAUCGUGAAGUCUGGCAACGAGAUCCACCGCCAACAUGGCGGCAUGCCACAUGGGAUGCUGAUCGACC